UAUUAAAGUUGUUGCGGUUAAAAAGCUCGUAGUUGGAUCUCAGUUCCGGAUCGACGGUUCGCCUCUGGUGAUUUACUGUCGGUCCGAACAGCUCGUCGGCUUACUCGGGGUGCUCUUCACCGAGUGUCCCGCGUGGCCGGCACGUUUACUUUGAAAAAAUUAGAGUGCUCAGAGCAGGCUUACCGCCUGAAUAGUUGUGCAUGGAAUAAUGGAAUAGGACCUCGGUUCUAUUUUGUUGGUUUUCGGAACCCGAGGUAAUGAUAAAUAGAGACGGACGGGGGCAUUCGUAUUGCGACGCUAGAGGUGAAAUUCUUGGACCGUCGCAAGACGAACUACUGUGAAAGCAUUUGCCAAGAACGUUCUUAUUAAUCAAGAACGAAAGUUAGAGGUUCGAAGGCGAUCAGAUACCGCCCUAGUUCUAACCAUAAACGAUGCUGACUAGCGAUCCGUCUGUGUUAAUCCCAUGACUAGGCGGGCAGCUUCCGGGAAACCAAAGUCUUUGAGUUCCGGGGGAAGUAUGGUUGCAAAGCUGAAACUUAAAGGAAUUGACGGAAGGGCACCACCAGGAGUGGAGCCUGCGGCUUAAUUUGACUCAACACGGGGAACCUCACCAGGCCCGGACACCGGAAGGAUUGACAGAUUGAGAGCUCUUUCUUGAUUCGGUGGGUGGUGGUGCAUGGCCGUUCUUAGUUGGUGGAGCGAUUUGUCUGGUUAAUUCCGAUAACGAACGAGACUUUAGCCUACUAACUAGUCGGAGGAUCUUAAACAAGUGUCCUCUGCAGCUUCUUAGAGGGAUAAGCGGCAUCUA
rnacentral:rRNA from 1 species